CAAACCCAAAAUUUGUUUACAUUUUCUCCUGCACGACCGUGGGGUGUCGGCAGAGGUCGAGGGGAGGAGGAAGUUUUCGUUCGCAGUUUCUUCGGAGGAGCUGCUGCUGCUGAGCCGCCAUGGAAUAUCAACCCGGUUACGGUGAUAAACAUGCCAGAGUACGUGACGAGUCGGAUGGCGGGGAUUAUCCGGAACCGGCAGCAGCAGGUUAUCCGAAGCCAGGUUGGUCAAAAUAGUUUGUCUAACCGCAUUUCUCGGCGCAACUGAUCAAGCUGUGCUCGUUGGACCUCGCUCCGAAGAAAACCGCCACCAGUAGGUUCGGUCUGGACUGGGAUGAAAUCGCGCCUACGCCACAAGGAUGCAGCCGUACCUCCUCAUCAUCUGUGACGACAGCUCAGCUCGCUCAUCAUCCAGAAGCAAACGGCCUCGCUGGACAUGUUUGAUCGGGUCGCCGUCCUGCGAGUGGUUCGAGGUGCUAGUUUGAUCUGGCUGGUGGAAUAGUGUUGUCCAACGACGGAAAUGAAAUUCUGCGAGAGAUUACGGUCGAACAUCCGGCAGUGGAAAUUAUGCUUUAAAUUGCCCGCAUCCAGGACAAGGAGGAGGUUGAUUUUGUUAGCCGGAGAGAUGUUUAUCACGGCGGAGCAACUCCUAUAGCUGCUGAUUGAUCCGACCUCAGGGCCUACCAGUGGAAGCGUUGGAGCGUGGAUCGAACCGCCACCAGCAGGUUCGGUCUGGACUGGGAUGAAACCGCACCUACACCAGUAGAAUACAACCGUACCUCCUCAUCAUCUGGCACGAGAACUAAAUCUCCCCGCUGGCGCUGUUUCGGCAGGUCAAGGGCUAAGGCUACGGUCUGUCGCACGACUGCCCAAGCCUUGUCACGGACAGCUCGCUCAUCAUCCAGAAGCAAACGACCUCGCUGGACAUGUUUGAUCGAUGACCAACGACGGAAAUGAAAUUCUGCGGCACCCAGGGAGGGAGGGGACAAGAGGGUGAUUUUGUUAGCCGGAGAGAUAUUUAUCACGGCGGAGCAACUCCAACAGCUGCUGAUUGAUCCGACCGCAGGGACUACCAGUGGAAGCGUUGGAGGAUAUGAUUAAGCUGUUGCAGGAGAACGCUAGCGUUCCGUUGAACAAGGCCAAGCUGGUUGAGGUGGUCAAAUCUUGCAUUGGAACUGCAGAAAUUUUAUUUUCUGCACUU